rnacentral:rRNA from 1 species
GGCGGCGUGCUUAACACAUGCAAGUCGAACGAUGAAGCCCUUCGGGGUGGAUUAGUGGCGAACGGGUGAGUAACACGUGGGCAAUCUGCCCUUCACUCUGGGACAAGCCCUGGAAACGGGGUCUAAUACCGGAUACGACUGCGGGAGGCAUCUCCUGUGGUGGAAAGCUCCGGCGGUGAAGGAUGAGCCCGCGGCCUAUCAGCUUGUUGGUGAGGUAACGGCUCACCAAGGCGACGACGGGUAGCCGGCCUGAGAGGGCGACCGGCCACACUGGGACUGAGACACGGCCCAGACUCCUACGGGAGGCAGCAGUGGGGAAUAUUGCACAAUGGGCGAAAGCCUGAUGCAGCGACGCCGCGUGAGGGAUGACGGCCUUCGGGUUGUAAACCUCUUUCAGCAGGGAAGAAGCGAAAGUGACGGUACCUGCAGAAGAAGCGCCGGCUAACUACGUGCCAGCAGCCGCGGUAAUACGUAGGGCGCAAGCGUUGUCCGGAAUUAUUGGGCGUAAAGAGCUCGUAGGCGGCUUGUCACGUCGGGUGUGAAAGCCCGGGGCUUAACCCCGGGUCUGCAUCCGAUACGGGCAGGCUAGAGUGUGGUAGGGGAGAUCGGAAUUCCUGGUGUAGCGGUGAAAUGCGCAGAUAUCAGGAGGAACACCGGUGGCGAAGGCGGAUCUCUGGGCCAUUACUGACGCUGAGGAGCGAAAGCGUGGGGAGCGAACAGGAUUAGAUACCCUGGUAGUCCACGCCGUAAACGUUGGGAACUAGGUGUUGGCGACAUUCCACGUCGUCGGUGCCGCAGCUAACGCAUUAAGUUCCCCGCCUGGGGGAGUACGGCCGCAAGGCUAAAACUCAAAGGAAUUGAC